rnacentral:tRNA from 1 species
GGGCCUGUAGCUCAGUUGGCAGAGCGCACCACUGAUAAUGGUGAGGUCGACAGUUCAAGUCUGUCCAGGCCCA